AAGCGUUUUCCGGAAUUAUUGGGCGUAAAGAGCUCGUAGGCGGCUUGUCACGUCGAUUGUGAAAGCCCGAGGCUUAACCUCGGGUCUGCAGUCGAUACGGGCUAGCUAGAGUGUGGUAGGGGAGAUCGGAAUUCCUGGUGUAGCGGUGAAAUGCGCAGAUAUCAGGAGGAACACCGGUGGCGAAGGCGGAUCUCUGGGCCAUUACUGACGCUGAGGAGCGAAAGCGUGGGGAGCGAACAGG
rnacentral:rRNA from 1 species